AAUUUUAAAUAAAUCAAGCAUAUAUUCAAUUUUAAACUUUAUCUAUGAUGUUGGAUAAAAGAGGUCUCUGCUGGCUUUAACGCUUUAGUUCUGCUUUUGUUAACCUUCCACUGUCUCACGGGCCAUCUCUCACCCCAGAUUCCUUCAAACCACCGUUUUCUCCUUAACAGCAAAGAAAGCCAAAACCAUUCAUCCGCUGUCUACCAUCAGCACAUUGAAGUCCCACCAUUGCCAGAUAGCCCAGAGGUAAAUUUUUCUCUUUUUGGCUUCUAAUCUGUCACUUUUUUUUUUGGAUUUUUUUUGCUUUCAGAAGGUACAGUGUGUCCUUGCGGGUAAAAUGGGUUUAUUUGUUUUUAUCAAUUGUUGCUUUCAAUACUGUGUUUGUUAAUAGGUAAUUUUUUAAUGGAUAAAGGAUUUUCUAGAUAAUGUUCUGUUUUUGUAAAAAGUUAUUACUUUGAAUACUUUUUUGGAAAAAUGAAAAACUUGUUCCAUUAUAAGUCAUCAUUGUCUCAAACAAUUUUUAAUAAAUCAAGCAUAUAUUCAAUUUUAAAUUUUAUCUAUGAUGUUGAAUAAAAGAGGUCUCUACUGCCUUUAACGCUUUAGUUCUGCUUUUGUUAACCUUCCACUGUCUCAUAGGCUAUUUCUCACCCCAGAUUCCUUCAAAUCGCUGUUUUCUCCUUAACAGCAACGAAAGCCAAAACCAUUCAUCCGCUGUCUACCAUCCGCACAUUGAAGCCCCACCAUUGCCAGAUAGCCCAAAGGUAAAUUUGGCUCUUUUUGGCUUCUAAAUGGGGUUAUUUGUUUUUAUCAAUUGCUUCUUUCAAUUGAUUAUCUCCUCCUUUUGCAAUUAGUGGGGGGUAACUGUUAGCCAGAUUGCUCGGAACGACAUCCAUAUGAUAUUGGGGGCUGGAAUUCUAACUCAGUAAGAAGGUUUUGGGCUCAACGUACAUCAAUUUCACACCAUAUUUAAUUUUAUUUGGAGAGUGGUUGAGGACCACCGUUACCUUACUGCUCGAAAGAAUUACAAUUUGUUCCCCUUGAAGAGCUUGUCCAUAAAAAGAAGGUGGAAGGAGGAGUACUUCCUUAUUAGUCAUCAUCUGGAUUUUAGGAUACCUUCCAAUUGGAGAUGAUGGGCUCCUCAGUUGAGGCUUCCUCAGGACUUGACCACUGUUGAGGCUAGGCAGGUCAAGGCCUUGAAGCGUUAUGCCCUAAAUCCUCCUCCCAUUGUUUCUUUGCUGGAUGCUAAUAUCCCAUUGGGUCCAAAAACUCGUGUUUCAAAGAUAAGGGGCCUAUAGGAAACUGGGGGUGAGUUAGGUCCUAAUUGUUCUCCUCUUAUUCCAUUACUGACUUCUCUUUUAGCUUCUUUAUUUUUUGUAGAAAUGGGCCCAAGAUUGUCCAAGGAGAUGAAAGCGUGUUUGGCAGAGAAUAGAGACCAAUUAAUUGCCACUCAGUCUGGGUAGAGCCCUAGGGAGGCUAGGGAACCCAGCGCUCUAGCCUAAGGCGCUCUGAGGUGACGGUCAUAGUGUCUCCCGUGUGUCCUCCUAUGGUCGAGCUACCUACAGCUGAUCCCUCGAGUGUGACGGCUUUUGAUCC
rnacentral:lncRNA from 1 species